UGGCCUUGACAUACUAAGAACUUUCCAGAGAUGGAUUGGUGCCUUCGGGAACUUAGAUACAGGUGCUGCAUGGCUGUCGUCAGCUCGUGUCGUGAGAUGUUGGGUUAAGUCCGCAACGAGCGCAACCCUUUUCCUUAUUUGCCAGCGGGUAAUGCCGGGAACUUUAAGGAUACUGCCAGUGUCAAACUGGAGGAAGGCGGGGACGACGUCAAGUCAUCAUGGCCCUUACGGCCAGGGCUACACACGUGCUACAAUGGUCGGUACAAAGGGUUGCUACCUCGCGAGAGGAUGCUAAUCUCAAAAAGCCGAUCGUAGUCCGGAUCGCAGUCUGCAACUCGACUGCGUGAAGUCGGAAUCGCUAGUAAUCGCGGAUCAGAAUGCCGCGGUGAAUACGUUCCCGGGCCUUGUACACACCGCCCGUCACACCAUGGGAGUUUGUUGCACCAGAAGUAGGUAGUCUAACCGCAAGGAGGACGCUUACCACGGUGUGGCCGAUGACUGGGGUGAAGUCGUAACAAGGUAGGCGUAGAUGA
rnacentral:rRNA from 1 species